rnacentral:tRNA from 1 species
GCUCUCAUGGCGUAGUGGUCACUGCGCUCGCCUUGCACGCGGGAGACCCGGGUUCGAUUCCCGGCGAGGUCA